rnacentral:rRNA from 1 species
AUUGAACGCUGGCGGCAUGCUUUACACAUGCAAGUCGAACGGUAACAGGGUGCUUGCACCGCUGACGAGUGGCGAACGGGAGAGUAAUGCGUCGGAACGUGCCGAGUAGUGGGGGAUAACGCAGCGAAAGUUGUGCUAAUACCGCAUACGUACUGAGGUAGAAAGUGGGGGACCUUCGGGCCUCACGCUAUUCGAGCGGCCGACGUCUGAUUAGCUAGUAGGGGAGGUAAAGGCUCACCUAGGCGACGAUCAGUAGCGGGUCUGAGAGGAUGAUCCGCCAAACUGGGACUGAGACACGGCCCAGACUCCUACGGGAGGCAGCAGUGGGGAAUUUUGGACAAUGGGCGAAAGCCUGAUCCAGCCAUGCCGCGUGUCUGAAGAAGGCCUUCGGGUUGUAAAGGACUUUUGUCAGGGAGGAAAUCCCUAGUGCUAAUAACACUGGGGGAUGACAGUACCUGAAGAAUAAGCACCGGCUAACUACGUGCCAGCCGCCGCAGUAA